ensembl:lncRNA
AACCCUGGAGGAUAGUCACUUGGCCCAGUAACACAGGUGCUAAUGAGCAGCGACUAGAGACUGACCAGAGCAGGGAGUUUGGCCACCUGUUGAGGAGUGAUCAGAUGGCACUUAAAACGCAACGCACAGAAGGUAACACAAUUGUAAGAAUUCUUAGCUCAUUCAGAAGUAACUUUUAUUGGUCACUUGCUUGUUUAAUAAUCAAAAGCAUAACGUCAGCACAAAAGCACAGAAAGCUACUCUGGUAAGACACAGAGUCUCUGCCACUCGAGAUUACAUAGAAGCCUCAUUAUUUGCAGGUAUUAUAAUCCCAGGCAAACGAAAUUUCUUUCUGCAAACCUAGAACCUUUGACCCAUAUUUCCUCUGUCUGCUCUGCUCUUCCAAAGCGAAGAGGACAACUCACCCCGCUUCCUUGCAUCCACGUCCAUAUGUUCUGCCACCACUGUUUCUAAGAUGCUCUCAACCACGUAGAGUAAUUCUAACUUUUAAACAAAGAAGAAUAGAUCCUGAUCAUCCCAACAGAGAUCACCAAGAGGUCAGUGUGGAGACGAAAUCCCCGACCAGUGCUGCCACCAACAGAGAAUGUCACAGCAGCCGUGCACAAGCCAGACUCACGUGUGCACAGAGCCACAUCUGUGGAGACUCACCUGGAACAUGCUUGUCUCUGGACACCUGAACACCGAUGAGCAAGGGGCAUGGCCCUAACAAGGCACAGAUGGGCUGAUUGACAUGACCCAGAAGCAGAAACAAAAACAGAAACACAGACUCGGGGUAAAAGACGACGGAAACAGUUGGCAGAGCUGAGGGUCUCCUGCUAGGGCUUCUCUGCAGGAGCCAAGGAAAGACACACCUGGUGCUGCACAGACCGCACGGUGUUGUCUCAGGCAGGGCACGUAACUGGUUUUAGAAGAUGACCCACUGAGACAUCUCUGUGGAAUCUACAAAACUGGUCAAAAUGCAAUAUUCAAAUAGUUGAGCUGUAGCUCCCAUGCUUACGAAGCGAGCAUGUGUUAAUCAUUUAUUAUAGUGAGGGAACUAGCAAAAUGUUAGAGCUGGUUUGGUUCCUGAUUUCGGUUUUAAAUUGCUUUUCUUUAAUUGGCAUCCUUUUAAUACAUUUCUUUUUUGUGUUUAAAUUGCCCAGAUUUGGUUUCUGUUGCUUGUAACUAAGAGACCUGACUACUACACAAAUUGAUACCAUCAUUAAUUGCAAACAACAGACCUCUAGAGGAAGGAAGAAAAUUUUGGAGUGUUAUCUAGCUUUGUUGGAGCUGAGGGCCAUGAAAAUGUAGCUAAGAGAUACGACUCUGGCAGCUGAUGCUUGAUGAGCUCUCCCGUGAGGUCCCCUGGAAUUCACGGUCCCAUGAAUUCAAGGCUUUAGGGAGUGAAGGCGUGCAUUGUCUGUAGAGGAUUUAAAAACAUUAAUGCAAGUAACUACAAGUUGGUUUGAUUUUUAUUAUCACCUUGUACCCACAUACCCAUCCCACUAGCUUUCUUUGGCCUCUGCAGAAAGCAGGUUGGGUCUUGGAGAAAGAACGAUGAAGAGUAGUAACUCCUGUUACAACCACCGUUGCAAUACCAGUCUUUUUGCUGGAGAAAAUCAGCACAGGCCAGUAUACAGCUUUUGACCCAGCACAUCUAUUUCUCUCUGUUCUAAUCACUAGAGAAUGUCCGAAAUACACCUCCAGUCUCUCACCUCAGAAGCACAUCACCACGGUGGUGGGGAACCGGAGUUCAGUACAUCCCAUAGGACAUCCUCCCAGGGGACAUUCUUCCGUGGGACUUUGUCCCAUGGGGCAUUCUUUGUUUCAUAGGACAUCGCACUGGCCCGCUGUAUGGAGGAUACUGGCUGAGAGGAGCUGCAGAGCCAGAGGUAACCCUCACCCAAUAUGAUUUGGUAAAAUACGUGUGUGUCAGAGGGUGGGAAACAAAUUCCACAAAAUUCAGGGGCCUGAUGAAUCGUGUUCAGAGGUCCAGCAGGUUGUGAUGUACCCUCUGAAUUAAGGAGCGUCUUGCCGUCUUUUUCACCCCCUACCAUAAGAAGGAGGUCACUUGGCGGGCCUCUUCAGGGUUUGGAGGCAACAUUCAGUUGACUAUUCCCAAGCAUUUACUAGACGAAUUGGAAAACUGCCACGUCUGAGUUUGACCCGGAACAGAAGACGGCUCUCUAGCCCGCCCAGGCUGCGGCACAAGCAGCUCAGCUAUUGGCUGUUAUGACCCAGAAUAACCGAUUCACCGUAUUGUGUGGACAAAGUUGAAAACUAACAACUGCCAACACAUCCCGUAAAAAGCAACGAGGAAAGGGAUGGAAAAAAGGAAAUUUAAAAAAUAAAUAUGAUGCAUUGGUAAUUGUAAUAUUUCAACUUUGUCAACUUUGGUGACAGAGAAAGAAAAACCCAGGGAAACAUUCUACAAUCGUCUUUCUGAAACUGGAGAUGACACCGCAGUAGGUUUCAGCCUCAUGUCGUCUCCUGUCUCCUUGACAGGCCCUCCUUGGUUACCCGCCUGGAAGAAGUCUCCCCACCCGGUGUUGCUACGUAUCACAAGACUUCGUUUUCUUUCACUGUAAUUGUCACGCUUUCGACCGUUUUGCGUGUUUACUUUAUUUCCAAAUCUCCUCACCUGCACCAGAUUUAACAAAUCCUCUCACUGAGGCUGACCUGGCUCCUGCUGAUCUGAGUGCCCAGCAGCCAGCAGCCUGUGAACACCGUGUGUGUCACAUGUGUUGGAGGGGGCACUGAUUUGUCCCCAACAGAGUAGACACAUCAAGCUGUGGCCCAGCGUGCUCCUGUCUGGCCAGCACCUGUGGACUGACUGAGGGUCUCACUCACCAUGGUUUUGCCACACUGCACUGCUUCUGACAAAAGAACCUGCUUUAAGGGGGAAGGAGCAGAGCAAAUGCACCCAACUGUCCACGUGACGUCUCUUUCAGGAUGUUUUAAAGGCAUCUCAUGCUCAGCACAUCCAAACCAAACUCAUGAUCUUCCCCCGUAACCCAAGGCUCUUCCGCCAUUCUCUGAGUGAACGGUGCUGACAGCUCCCUGGUACCCAGACCAGAAACCUCAGCGCCAUCCUUGUCGCCUCCCCCUCUCUCAUCCUCAUACCUAAUCCAUUUCCAAGUCUUAUUAAUGUUCCCUUCUAAACAUUUCUUGAAUGCAUCCACUUCUCUCCGUUUCCUCCAUCCAUGCUGGGUGGAACUUUCAGGAUGACUCUUUGUUAUGG